CUUGACCGAACCCAGCAGCAGCGGCAGUCCCUCGGCACGCUCCUGGCCGUACGUCGCCAGCAGUGCCUGCGCCUC
rfam:Streptomyces sp. Mg1, complete genome.